CGGGGGCCGAUUUUAAGUUUGUGUUUCCACACAAACUGUCUUUGUAACCUUGUUAUUUAAUAAUGUCACAGUACUUGUAAAUGAUUAUAUAGGAACGAACAAGAAUGACAAGAGAUCCAGGCCCAUCUUGUUAAGACUAUAUCUAUCAAGAACAAUCACACAAAGACAUCAAUAAUAAAACUAAAAGUGAUUUUUCAUCUAACUGGGCUGCUAAUUAACCCAAUAAAACGAUGCUACUAAUAUAAAUAUAUAGAGAAAAAAUAGACAAAAUAAACAAUGAAAACAAAAAAAAAACUAAGAUAGAAUAAACAAUGAAACAAAAUAAAGAACUUGAUAUAUUACAGAUUAAACAAAAGAAAGAGCAAAGUAGAAUUAAAAUGAAAGGAAGCAACUAAACAGUGAAGAAAAAAUGUCUAAGAGAAUAAACAAAAUAUAGGCCUCUAUAACUUCACGAAAGAUACAUUUUCGCAAAACAUGUACGGCAAUAAACAACGAGUUCUACAACGCACUAGCAUCAAUUUGUGUUUUUGUAAUCAAAAAAAAAAAAAGCAUAAGAACAUAAGCAAUGAACGAUUUACCGGACAAUAACAAGAACAAUAAUAGGCAUACAAAGUUUACAGUAGCAAUAUACAUACACGAAAACAAAAAAUGAACCAUUUAGAAAUGUGCUUGUACUGGUAUUUUUGCAUUGUACUUACAGAGAACCAGAUCUAUUAUCCACAAAGAAAAUGUUAAUAAUGCCUAAGAUCUUUUUCACUAAAGCUGCUAGAGGUUUUCAAACGAUGUCUAGAUACAAUCAAUCCCACUCAACUUUUCCCCCUCACGACUUGUAGGCCUAUGUGUCUUUUUUUUUUUUCUUUUUAGAACUAACGUGUAAAUCUAGUUGUUUAUUAUUUUAAAACGUAUUCCGUGUAUUUAUAUGUUAAAAGUCCUGGCCUAACAACUAUUGUGAAUGAUUUCGAACUCUAUUCAAGCUCAUCUCAAGACUCACCUUUAGUUAGAUCCACUAGGAAAAGACACAAUACAACCAGUACUGCUACUUCACUAGAACACUUCGCCAUUUUACCUUGUUUCUGAAAGAACUCUGUGUAAGAUCUAACUGAAGACGAUGCCAAAAACUAGCACCACCCUCUCCGCUUCUCUUGCUCUGCAUCAGAAUUAACAUCAUCAAAAGUUUAACAUACCAAAGUAAAUAAUAAGAAAAAUAAAGGCAAUGCCACUUUCAACUGCAACUAAUAUCUGUAGAUAUGUUGGAUCAUCUUUGAAAUGGAAGUGACGAUCAAGUCCAUUGAACAGUACAACCACAACUGCAUUAGCUACAAGUAAAAAAAAAAUUUUGAUGAAAAUUUAAGAGGUAUUUUACAAAAUUGUAUUAUUUCUGACCAAUUAAGAAGUAUUUUGUAAUGUGGAUUUAGAAAUGUAAAGUUGAAAUACAAAAAUGACUGCAAGCAAGAAUCCUGACCAUCAGCAGCACUGUGUUGUACAGGAGCUAAUAUUGCAUAGCUAAAUAGAGCUCAAACAAACAAAAUGUAGUUAUUUACCUGUACUCAGGUAUCAAGAGUUUAGAAGGAAAACAAAAUGAUAGAUGAAGUUUUCAUUUGAUACAAUUCAAAGGAUGUGAGAUCAUUGUUUUUCAAAUAUUUGUUGGCUUUAAUUUGUAUAGGUCAAUUUAUUACCAGUACCACAAAAAUUGUUUAAAAUGUUUUUCAAGCCAUGGUUGAUUUUUUUGUUUUAUCAAUAUAGAGAACAUGCAUUCUUUUAUAAAUUGUAUAAAUGUUUCAUUGAAACACCCAUCUGGGUCAGGAUUUCACAUUUGACCAUCACAAAGAAAUACUAUGAUCACAAAAAUGGACUCUAGAUCUCUUUUUUUUCCUUUGGCAAUUAAAUCAUUGAAUAAAAUCAAACUUUCUGAAUAAAACUUGACAUGUAAUGUUUAAUAGAAACAGUGGUAUGAAAAUAUAUUUUUGUGUACUAUCUUAUAAUUUGUUUGCUCUUAUACAGGAUUAUGUGUAAUGCACAUUGUUUGACACAUUUCCUUUUCGAUAAUAAAGAUUAUUAUUUUUAUCCGCGGCUAGACUUUCAAUCUACUUUACUUAGCUAUUAGUUGUACCCAUUAAUUUAGGCAAUCUGCUGCUUACUUAAAUACAAAUCAAUAAAGAAAUAUGCUUCUGUA
rnacentral:sRNA from 1 species